rnacentral:rRNA from 1 species
UACAGAGGGUGCAAACGUUGUUCGGAAUUACUGGGCGUAAAGCGCGUGUAGGCGGCCUAGUGUGUCGGGCGUGAAAUCCCACGGCUCAACCGUGGAAGUGCACUCGAAACUGCAAGGCUGGAGUACUGGAGAGGAUGGUAGAAUGCUCGGUGUAGAGGUGAAAUUCGUAGAUAUCGGGAGGAACACCUGUGGCGAAGGCGGCCACCUGGACGACAACUGACGCUGAGACGCGAAAGCGUGGGUAGCAAACAGG